UACGAAGGGGGCUAGCGUUGCUCGGAAUCACUGGGCGUAAAGGGUGCGUAGGCGGGUCUUUUAAGUCAGGGGUGAAAUCCUGGAGCUCAACUCCAGAACUGCCUUUGAUACUGAGGAUCUUGAGUUCGGGAGAGGUGAGUGGAACUGCGAGUGUAGAGGUGAAAUUCGUAGAUAUUCGCAAGAACACCAGUGGCGAAGGCGGCUCACUGGCCCGGUACUGACGCUGAGGAGCGAAAGCGUGGGGAGCGAACAGG
rnacentral:rRNA from 1 species